rnacentral:lncRNA from 1 species
GCUUCCGGUUUUAAUAAUUAUUUUUUACACUUUUUAAUUGGGUCUGCGGGUCGAAUAAUCGCGGUUCUGGUCUCUGGAGUAAAACAGGGUUACUGUAAUGGAGAGGCUGGUAAGGACAGGAGCUGUGCUGCUUGUCGGCUUUCUGCUCUCAGAAAGCUCGCCACAGUCUCUCAUAUCCACAGCUCUCCCCCUCAGAAGCUCUCUGUGUUUCUCAGAAACUCCAGUUAAUUGUUAACCGCCCGGAGAAACUAGUUUUUUGGGUCUCCAGAGGAAACAAACAAUAAACAGGGGCUGGAGGAGGCCGAGGAAGAAUAGUGGGAUUAGAGGAGGAAAAGGCCGGGAGGUAACAAAGACCUUCAGGAGUAGUAAGUGCAGGUAGGAAGGAGAAGUUCCUUCACUUUUUUAUAGGCAAUUGUAAGAGCUUUGUUUGAAUGUAAAAAUGAGCAGCAACCGGUAGCCAAUGGAGCUCAAUAAGCAGUGGAGUGACAUGUGCCCGUUUUGGCUGGUUGAAGACCAGGUGCUGGAACAUCUGAAAUGUUUUUCUACACAGGCCUGUUAGCAUUGCAUUGCAGAAGUCAAGGCAUGAGAUGACCACUGCUUGUACCAAGAGUAGGGUGUCCUGUUGCGAUAGAAAUGGUUGAAUGUCUGAUGUUGCAAAGCGAGUGCAAAGUGGCAAGACCGAGCAACUGAGACAACAUGAUGUUUAAAGGAUAGUUGGUAAUCAACCAUAACACCUAGGUUCAUAGCAACCUGUGAAAUUUUGUUGAAAUUGUGUUGAAUCAGCCCUAAAACCUAAUCUUUAACCCUA